GUAGCAAAAUCAUUUGUUUUUUAAUUGGAAACGGGUAUGAACGGUUUUAUAAGUAGGUUAGAUGUAGAUCAUUUAAAUUUAAUUUCUAGUACAAGUAAAAAUACUUGUAUAAAUUAAAGGGACGAUAAGACCCUAAAAUCUUAAAUUUGAAUAGAUUAAAAGUCAAGGUUAGAUAGGAUAAAAUUUUAACUGGGGUAGUUUUUUUAAAAAAAUUAAUAUUUUAAUAACUUAAAGAUUUAAGGGUCCUUUAUAUAAGGAUAAGUAGGAUAAGUUACUUUAGGGAUAACAGCGUAAUAUUUUUGGAGAGAUCAUAUUUAUAAAAAUGGUUACGACCUCGAUGUUGAAUUAGAUAUAAGACACCAGGCAGAAAGGGUGUAAAAGGGUUUGUUCAACCUAUAGAAAUUU
rnacentral:rRNA from 1 species